rnacentral:rRNA from 1 species
AUACGGAGGGUGCAAGCGUUAUCCGGAUUCAUUGGGUUUAAAGGGUACGUAGGCGGAUAGAUAAGUUAGUGGUGAAAUCCCGAAGCUCAACUUCGGAACUGCCAUUAAAACUGUCUAUCUUGAAUUUGGUUGAAGUGGGCGGAAUAUGACAUGUAGCGGUGAAAUGCAUAGAUAUGUCAUGGAACACCGAUAGUGAAGACAGCUCACUAAGCCAAUAUUGACGCUGAGGUACGAAAGCAUGGGUAGCGAACAGGAUUAGAAACCCCAGUAGUCC